ACGGGAAAAAGUUUCUCUGAAUCCUGUAAAAUCAAGAAUCUGCAAGCUACCCACUGGAGGAGAUGAUGCUCCUCUGAUCGGAUACAUCAAACUAUCAACAUUCAACCAGAACGCUUCUGGUGCUGUAAGAGAGGCGAUUGAAACCUUAAGGAAAAACAAUGUCAAGGCAUUUGUCUUGGACCUUCGGGAUAACAGUGGUGGUCUCUUCCCUGAAGGAGUUGAGAUAGCAAAAAUUUGGUUGGAUAAAGGUGUGAUUGUAUACAUUUGUGAUAGCCGUGGUGUUCGAGAUAUUUAUGACACGGAUGGGAGCAAUGUGGUAGCUGCUUCAGAGCCCCUAGCUGUGCUGGUAAACAAAGGGACUGCAAGUGCAAGUGAGAUUUUAGCCGGUGCUUUGAAAGAUAACAAGCGUGCACAGCUGUUUGGUGAACCAACAUAUGGCAAGGGUAAAAUCCAGUCUGUAUUCCAGCUAUCUGAUGGCUCUGGCGUGGCUGUUACAGUUGCUCGGUAUGAAACUCCUGCUCACAACGAUAUAGACAAGGUUGGUGUCACCCCGGACCAUCCUUUGCCAGCAUCAUUUCCAAAAGACGACGAGAGCUUCUGUAACUGCCUUCAAAAUCCUGCUGCUGCUUG
rnacentral:misc_RNA from 1 species